rnacentral:rRNA from 1 species
UAAAGGGUGCGUAGGCGGCCUGUUAAGUCAGGGGUGAAAGACGGUAGCUCAACUAUCGCAGUGCCCUUGAUACUGACGGGCUUGAAUGGACUAGAGGUAGGCGGAAUGUGACAAGUAGCGGUGAAAUGCAUAGAUAUGUCACAGAACACCGAUUGCGAAGGCAGCUUACUAUGGUUUUAUUGACGCUGAGGCACGAAAGCGUGGGGAUCAAACAGGAUUAGAUACCCAGU